CAGCCAUGAUAGAUUCUAAUCCGAACUUCCCCGACUUCGUCCACGAUCGAACUUUCCCAAGGACAGAUUUCUACAGCAACCCGACUCCACCCAUAUUUCUACGACGGUCGACCGCCUUUUGGAUUUCAUCCGAUCUCCUACGGGAGCCAGACCUCUGCCCCGAAUUCCUAUUACAGGCGGACUUCAUCCGAGCCCCUAUUACAAAUGGUCUACUCCGAGCUUCUAUUACAAGCGACCUACUCCA
rnacentral:lncRNA from 1 species